UCAUAUCAUUUUAUAAAAAAAAUAUAUACAAAAAACAUUAAAAGUUUUCAAAUAAUAAAAAAACCAAAUUAAAAUAUAAUCAAACUAAAAAACAAACACAAAUAACUCAAAACUCAACAAACAAAAUGUGGAAUUUUCAAAGAAUCAUUUGUAUAUGGAUUUGCUGUGUGUCGUGUAUGUUUGGUACAACACAAUUGUCAUCACUGGUGCAAGCAGUACCGUACGAGUAUUUUGAUGAUCAUGAACAAAGUUUCUUUGAUUUGGACUCAGAACAAAUUCAAGCUAAAUACGAUACACGUUUGUUAUCGCAACAGAUGUUGCAAACAGAGCAACAACAGCAACAACAUUCAGAAAAUUUAAAGGGUUUUCUCAACUAUGGCAGUGAGGAUAUAACAGCAAAUAUUGCUGUCAGUGGUAACACAAAUAAUAAGUUAGAAACUAGAAAACAAAAUGAUGCUGGUGCUUCUUCAUACCUUUCGAAAACAACAACGAAAUUGAAAAGUAAUGAUGGCCAGACAUUAAAGAAUGUUGGUGCUAAUACUGCUGACGAUGAUGAUGAUGAUGAACGUAACGAUUGGCUGGAGGAAACGGCAACAAAAGCUGCUGCAACAACAUCAGCAAUUACCGAAACAUUAGAUGAAUUACAUUUGCCACGUGCUGCAUCAUGUUUUACAAAUGGCCAAAAAUACACACAUGGUCAAAAGGUACCACGUCUAGAUAAUUGUGAGGUUUGUUUGUGCAUGGAUGGUGAAAUAUUUUGUUGGUGGGAAAAAUGUGAUAAAAAAUCCGCAAAAACUUCAACAACAUAUGAUGACUAUUCAACACCAUUUGAAGAAUCAUCCACAACACGCAUGCAAUUAAAUCCGAAAACCACAUAUAAAACGACUUUAAAACCAAUGAAAAAACCAAAAACAAAUGAAGACUACAAGUAUGAUGAUGACGAUUCGGCUGAAAUACGUGAAAUUCAACUGGAAUAUGAAGGUCUCAAGGAGCAAUUGAUGCGGACGGAACACGUACAAGAGCAACAUAAAAUCCAUCACAAUAAACAAAUGGUGAAAAAGAAAAUCUAUCAGCAACAAGAGGAGGAAAAACAUAAUAAGAAAAUUAAGGAACAAAAUAAAAAAAAGCAGGAAGAACAACAACAGCAGCAGCAUCAUAAGCAACAACAUAAAACGAGCGAACAUUUCGAACAACAUCAUCAUCCACAUAAUCACAACAACAAUCACGAUUACAGUUCAAGUGGGUCGUCCAGCAGUAAAAUACUUAAUUUUCCAGAAAAUCUACCUUCGGUUUUAUACUACGAUUAUAAAACGGAAGAACAUCAUCAACAUCAGCACCAACAUCGUGAACAACAUUUAAAACAUCAGAAGCAAAAACAACAGCAGAAACUACUUUUACAACAACAUGAAAAAGAGCUUAAGCAUCUACAACAGCAGCAACAACAGCAACAUCAUGUUAAUCGUCAUCAUGAAUAUGGUCAAGAUUUCAACACGUACAGCAGCACAGCACAUAAUACACCGGUAACAGGAACAGGUGUAGGAAGUAGAGCAGGGGAUGAAACAAAACAUCAUGACGGCAUCGGCGGCCCAUCAACAACAUUUAAGUAUUUUAGCAACGGAAAUGAAAACAUUUACAAUGGAGAUUUACAAACAGACAGUGACAUUUUACCAGAGCCACCAACAAAAAAGCCAAAAUUUCCAACAUCAAUUACAGACACAACGGCAACAACAAAAACAACAGGAAUUCCAAUAUCACAACUUCAUCGUUUAUCCACUUCAAUGAUGGCAACAACAGCUGUAGCAAUAACAAAAUCAUCAUCAACAGCAUCAGCAACAACAUCAAAAACAUUGGCAAAUACACCUCCAACGGCAUCAAUGCCUUUAAAGAAACAAAUUUUUUCACCUUGGGACUAUAAUAAACCAAACACAGAUAAAAUAAACAACAAUGGCAACAACAAAAACAACAAUAAUAAUGACAACAACAAUAAUAAUAAUGAAAGCACUGAAGACAUAAUAGAUACAGAUGAUCAAGAUGAUGCCUUCCAUCGUUGGUUGACAUCCACAGAGACAAAUAAUAAAAAUAAUUUCACUCUAAAUGAUGCAAUCAGCGGAAGAGAUGAUGCUGGUGGUUUUGCUUCAACUGCUGUUGGAGGUGGUGGUAGUGGUUUAUUGGAUGCCAGUAAUAGUGAUUAUAAUGUGGAAGAUAGAAAUUAUGAAAAUUUUGACUUGGUAGCAGAAACAGGACUUUCAACAGCAAAGGCAACAUCAAGACCCUUAACAACAAUAGGAGCGGCAGCAGCAAUAACGACAACAACUAUAAAUGCAUUUGACAUGAACGGAGGAGAAGGUGGCAGAGAACGACCAGUAGCAAUUUACGAUGAUAAUGGCGAUAUGUAUGAAAAUAGUCAAAAACCAAAAUAUGAACAAAAUUUUAGUGAUAAUAAUAGUUACAACAGCAACAAUAAUGGAAUUAUUAAUAGCAAUGGCUACAUAAGCAACAACAACAACAAUAUUUCACCAUUCAGCAGUAAUCCAUAUCAAAACUAUAAUAGAAAUAAUAAUAACAAUAACAUGGACAGGCCAACCAGCAGCGGCAGCAGUUCGACAACUAGCAAUGAAGAUAAUGGUGUUGCUAGUGUUGUAAAUAUUGAUAUAAUGUUAACAGCAUCAUCUGCUGAUUCACAGCAGCAACAAAAAGAAGAACGACCACAGGAAACGAAUAUUGAAACCACCAACCAACACAGUCAGCUGCAACAAGAUUUUGAACGUGAAAAACAAAUUGCUAAAACACAACUAAAAUUCAUGCAACCACCAACUUUAAUUUCCAAUACAAAUGAUGUUGAUAAUAACAAUCCUUUGUACUCAAUAAUAAAUGACAAUACCAAAAACUAUAACAAGAGUAGUAGCAGCAGCAGCGGUAAUAGCAACCAAACUAUUACCAACAUUGUUGUUGGUGAUGGUCUAAAUAUAGAAGAGCGACAAACAGCACAACAAAAAAAUGUGGGUGUCAACUUGUCAAGUAGCGAUAGUAGCAGUAACAACAGCAAUAGUGCCGCUACCACCCAUAGUUUAUUAAGUAGUAGCGAUAGUUUUAGCUUUAACCGUAUAUCGGCGGUGGUGUCACAAACAAAUGCAACAUCAGCGACAACAGUGGGUGCAACACCGCCUCCACUCAGCACAACAUUGAGUCCGGAACGACAAUGCAAUGUUAUGGGUACACUUUACAAAAUAGGCGAUAUUUUACCACAGGAUACUGGUAAUUGCUUGCAAUGUAUUUGCAUUGAUGGCUCAACAUCGGAUGACACACCGCGCGUAACCUGUAGUCCUCAUAAUUGUCCACCAUUAGUAUUGCCAGAUUUGUUUGAUGCCACGGGUUACUAAACUCCAACAAUAAACGCUGAAAACUGAAAAAAAUAAAAAAUAAAAAUCAAUAAACAAAACUCAUACAUAUGCAUGUCUACAAAACAACAACCACAAGAUAUUUUCACUCAAUAUUUCGUGACUUUAGUCCAGAAUAUUGUUCAUUGAACAACUUCAAACACACAUACUCAUCAACAUCAACAUCAGCUGCAUCAGUUUUUGUACAGUUUUAAAUGUUGUCCCAGCCAAUAAUUGUUAACAAACUCUAUUUGCAAUAUAUUUCAAUUGCAACAAAUAAAAGAACAGCAAUAGCAACAAAAAAUUCGAAUCUAUAACAAUAGCAACGAAUUGUACUGGGAGAGCCACACCCCCCACUGUACAAUCCAUAUACAAACAUCAUAUUUAAAGGCAUUAUCCUUUGUCAAACUGUUAUUGUGGAGUGUAUGCUUUAAUAAAAAAAAGAAAAACAUCUUAUUAAUGAUAAUAAUUAAUAAUAGAUGUCAAACUUGUCCACUUGAGAGUUUCUUGAAUAAAAAAAAUUAAAAAAAAAUAUUAUCAAAUUACAGCUCAAAACAAACGAGAAGAAGAAACCCCUUGUUAAACAUAUAUUUACAAACACAAAAAACCUCCUACUAUUUCCUCGUCCAUAUUAUAAACAUUUUUACAAGAAAAUAAUAUAUAUAAAUAAUAAAAAAAGAAAAAUUUCCAGUUUCUUUAUGUCGAAAAUAAUUUCAAAUUAAUCAAUAAACAAAAUUUACAAUGAUUUCCUUAUAAAUUCUUUAAACUUUAAGUAAGGUGACUAAAGAGGGAUGUGCAAUAGUUUUUUUUAACAAAAGAAUUUCUUAUUAAUUAUUUAUAUUAUUAAAAAACAAGUUAUCUUAUAUAAUGAG
rnacentral:misc_RNA from 1 species